rnacentral:rRNA from 1 species
AGAACUUAGCAGACAUGCUUUUGCAUGCUUCGGGAACUGUGAGACNCGGUGCUGUAUGGCUGUCGUCAGCUCGUGUUGUGAAAUGUUGGGUUAAGUCCCGCAAAGGANCGGCCAACCUUUAUCCUUNGUUGCCAGCGGUUCAGGCCGGGAACUCAAAGGAGACUGCCAGUGAUAAACUGGAGGAAGGUGGGGAUGACGUCAAGUCAUCAUGGCCCUUACGACCAGGGCUACACACGUGCUACAAUGGCAUAUACAAAGAGAAGCGACCUCGCGAGAGCAAGCGGACCUCNAUAAAGUAUGUCGUAGGCCGGAUUGGAGUCUGCAACUCGACUCCAUGAAGUCGGAAUCGCUAGUAAUCGUAGAUCAGAAUGCUACGGUGAAUACGUUCCC